UACGUAGGGGGCAAGCGUUGUCCGGAUUUAUUGGGCGUAAAGAGCGUGUAGGCGGUUAGGUAGGUCCGUUGUGAAAACUCGAGGCUCAACCUCGAGACGCCGAUGGAAACCAUCUGACUAGAGUCCGGAAGAGGAGAGUGGAAUUCCUGGUGUAGCGGUGAAAUGCGCAGAUAUCAGGAAGAACACCCGUGGCUAAGGCGGGUCUCUGGGCAGUAACUGACGCUGAGGAGCGAAAGCGUGGGUAGCGAACAGG
rnacentral:rRNA from 1 species